UACAGGGGGGGCAAGCGUUGUUCGGAAUUACUGGGCGUAAAGCGUGCGCAGGCGGUUAUGUAAGACAGAUGUGAAAUGCCCGGGCUUAACCUGGGAACUGCAUUUGUGACUGCAUGGCUAGAAUCUGGCAGAGGGGGGUAGAAUUCCACGUGGUAGCAGUGAAAUGCGUAGAUAUGUGGAGGAACACCGAUGGCGAAGGCAGCCCCCUGGGUCAAGAUUGACGCUCAUGCACGAAAGCGUGGGGAGCAAACAGG
rnacentral:rRNA from 1 species